AUUACCAAUAAGUUGGUUUGAUGUUGAAGAAGUCAAGUUUGUAGACUCUCAGAACUUGUACAAGAUACAAUAGAGAAAGAUUAAGAUGGUUCCAAAUCAUUUGGUUACAAUUUAGAGUAGGCAAGAGUCUGAUGUUGGUAGGAGGCGACACCCUUCAAGUUUGUCGAUUGCGAUCAUGUGUUCUUACGCGUUUCUCUAAUGAAGUGAGUGUAUAGUUUGGUAAGGAAGGGAAGUUAAGUUCAAGAUUUCUUUAAUGUAGGUACUUUAGCGAGGACCAUCUAGUGAAGAGAUGACUUAGGAACCAGACUAUGCACGAGAAGUAUCCACUCUUAUUUGAAACCCAGUGUUAGCUCAAAAUUCGAGGACGAAUUUUCUUUAAGGGGGGAAGAUUGAAAUGAUCCGUUUUAAAAUAAAAGUGGGGACAAAAAAAAAAAGACAGAGAAUAGAAGAUUAAAAAAAAAAAAAAAACAAGAAAAACAAAAAUCUAACCUUUAAAAAACCCACCGUAACCCCACCCUAUUCCUAAUGAAAAAAAAAAACAAUUCCCUAAUUCUUAAAACAAAACCACGUAAUACUACCCCAUCUACCCACUACUUUUCUAUCUAAACCUUAUGGUCUCUCUCGUUUUUGCUCUGCGUCAGAGAGCAAGCAAUUGAUUAUCUCCCACAAAUUCUUGUUCAUCUUUUGUUCUUUUUCACUACAAGUUCCACACCAAAUUUCCGAUACCAAUAGACACCCAUGAAGGAAUAUUUUGGCAUCCAAGUGGAAGUGCUUUUGGGAUAAUUUUGAGGGUUAGGGUUUGUGCUCUAAGGAAGGAGAAGAGUAUCCACUCCUACAGAAUUGUUCUUCCUAUUUCAUUGAGAUCUGCCGGUUAGUGGUUCGUUUGGUUGUCGCGCCGUUGUAGAGAGCAAUCGUGUUGGUUCUUCGUAACUGCUUGCCAGGCUAAGGUGAUAGUCUGUGCGCCGGUCACGGCUUAGGAUUUUGGGUCGUGACAAAGUUGGUAUCAGAGCUUUGGUUGUAGGUCCUAUUAGCUGCAGACAUGAGGUUGUAAUGGAAUCUUGCUAGUAAAUUGUGAACCGCGGCACAACUUACUUCAAAGAUGCUAUUAACGCCUCAUGAGAGUCCUAAAGUUGUUUCCAAAGUGUGAUUUGAGUUUGUUCCUCAUUCACUGAGUUCCGAGUCAUGUGUUAUGUUUGAUGAAUAUUCUUUGUUCAGUUAGGAUGCCACCUAAAUUAGGAUUUCUAUUAUAAGACGAUUAGCUUGUUAGAACCCUCCGUAAGACAUUUGGGGUCAGUAGCGUUCGACAGUGUAGUGCAAGCCAAAGGCGAUAGACGUUGGUUGUUUGUGGGC